AACGAACGCUGGCGGCAUGCCUAACACAUGCAAGUCGAACGAAAACUUCGGGUCUUUUGGCGCAUGGGUUUGUAACGCGUCGGAACCUGCCCUUAUGUUUGGAAUAACUCCCCGAAAGGGGUGCCAAUAGCGGACAAUGUCUUCGGACCAAUGAUUUAUCGCCCCUGGAUGGGCCCGCGUUGGAUUAGCUAGUUGGUAGGGUAAAAGCCUACCAAGGCGACGAUUCAUAGCUGGUCUGAGAGGAUGAUCAGCCACACUGGGACUGAGACACGGCCCAGACUCCUACGGGAGGCAGCAAUGGGGAAUAUUGGACAAUGGGCGAAAGCCUGAACCAGCAAUGCCGCGUAAGUGAUGAAGGCCUUAGGGUUGUAAAGCUCUUUUAACCGGGAUGAUAAUGACAGUACCGAGAGAAUAAGCUCCGGCUAACUCCGUG
rnacentral:rRNA from 1 species